rnacentral:tRNA from 1 species
GAGGGUGUAGCUCAGUGGGAGAGCACAUGCUUAGCAUGCAUGAGGUCUUGGGUUCAAUCCCCAGUACCCCUA